GGAGGGAUGCGAGAGUGGUUAAUCGAGCGGUUUGCUAAACCGUGACCGUGUGAGCGGUCCCUGGGUUCGAAUCCCAGUCCCUCCGCCA
rnacentral:tRNA from 1 species